UAAUAGUGUAUAUUAAAGUUGUUGCAGUUAAAAAGCUCGUAGUUGAAUGUUGGUGUCGAACGAGCGGUCAGCUUCGGCUGUACUGCUCUCUCGACUCCUUCCUUCCGUGGACUACGUCGCACUUUACUGUGUGGCGCUAGGACGCAGAUCGUUUACUGUGAAAAAAUUAGAGUGUUCAAAGCAGGCCGUACGCUUGAAUACAUUAGCAUGGAAUAAUGGAAUAGGACGUCGGGCCUAUUUUGUUGGUUCUAGGACCGUCGUAAUGAUUAAUAGGGACAGUUGGGGCCGUUUAUAUUCCGUAGUCAGAGGUGAAAUUCUUGGAUUUACGGAAGAUAAACUACUGCGAAAGCAUUCGGCAAGGAUGUUUUCGUUAA
rnacentral:rRNA from 1 species